rnacentral:misc_RNA from 1 species
GUAGAAACUAGGACCAUUUAUGAGACCAAACGCUCUCAAACAUCUACCUACGCGAAAUCGAUUCGCAGAGAGAAUCAAACAGCAAAUUCAUCUUGAAAGUUCUUUUGCUGUUUCUCGUCAAAAACAACCAAGAGCAUUCUUCAAUGGACGGUAACAUCCAACCACCGACGGAAUCGAAUCCCGAGACUGAUGAUCAAACUAUCGAAAUCGAUCCUUCAAGCACGGUUCUCGAUCUCACCAGCUUCCAGCUCCACAAUCUCGACUCAGUCGAGUUAUCUCAGGGUCUUACUGAGUUGGAUUUGACCGCGAAUCGCUUAUCGAGUCUCGACCCUAGAAUUGCGUUUCUCUCGAACCUGAAAAAGAUCUCUUUUCGACAAAACCUCAUCGAUGACGCUGCCAUCGAGCCCUUCUCCGGCUGGGAAGCGUUAUCAGGCCUCGAGGAACUGGUGCUGAGGGAUAAUAAACUUACGAAAAUACCUGAUGUUAGCAUAUUCAAGAGUCUCUUGGUUUUUGAUGUUUCUUUCAAUGAAAUCGGGUCCUUGCAUGGAUUGUCCAACGUCUCCAAUACUCUGAAGGAACUCUAUGUAUCAAAAAAUGAAGUUACUAAGAUGGAGGAGAUUGACCAUCUUUAUCAGUUGCAAAUUCUGGAACUUGGUUCCAACAGAUUAAGGGUCAGCAGUCCAAUGUGUUACAAAUUGGGGGCACAAGCUUCUUUCUGUCCAAUUGUCUACUUCUCUUGUUUGGUUGCCAACAGCCAAGUGUCCUAUUACAAUUGUCCACAUCUUUCUGUCGUAUUAUUUGUUUGCACGUGGUUAUGUGAGACACGCAUACACAUGCUAUACCCUCAUGCAAUUGUGUCUAUGCCAAUGGAAAAGUGGGAGAUAAAUGAAUCACAUAUGGAUUUAUAGUUUUGGAAUUAGAAUUUUGUUGGAGAAUGGUCUUAAUCCAAGAGCAAUUACUUUGGUGUUUCAGGUAAUGGAGAAUCUGCAUAAUUUAACAAACUUACAGGAGCUGUGGCUGGGACGGAAUCGUGUCAAAACAGUUAAUCUAUGUGGUCUGAAAUGCAUCAAGAAGCUUAGCUUGCAAAGCAAUCGUUUAACAUCUAUGAAAGGAUUUGAGGAAUGCGUUGCUUUAGAAGAACUUUAUUUGAGUCAUAAUGGUAUCACCAAAAUGGAAGGCCUAUCAACCUUGGUCAACCUCAGUGUAUUGGAUGUAUCAUCUAACAAGCUAACUUCAAUUGAUGACAUUCAGAACCUGACCCGGUUAGAAGAUCUAUGGCUUAAUGACAACCAAAUAGAAUCACUUGAACGCAUUGCUGAGGCCAUUGCUGGUUCCAGACAGAAAUUAACCACAAUCUACUUUGAAAAUAAUCCAUGUGUAUGAAAUCUGCAAUUUCAAGAACCUAAAUUGUUCAGAGCCUCACUAUUGCAUUAUGCCCACAUUCUAAACCAUAGCUUAUUUAUCAUUUCCAUGAUUAUUAAUACAUUAGGGAUUUUUCAUCUUGCUUAUUUUGUUCUUUUACUGGCAAUCAUACUCAAAUAGUGAAAGCAAUAUAACCUGAUCUUGUUUAUCAUAAAUAUUUAUUGAAGGUCAUAACAUGCAAAAGCUUGAUAGCAAUGUUCUAUCAUGGUUCCUCUGAUGGAAUUCUCGUUUAGUUUCAUGCUUGUCACCUGAAUAAUACUUUGUUCGAUGUCUGAAAUCCUGAACCCUGUUUCAAGCCUGUUAAUUUUCCUGGAUCCUGGAUUCUUUUUAACAUGUCUUUUGAUAUAUAUCGUUAGACAGCACAUAUAUGAUAAUAGAGUAAUUUGCAGACUUUUAUAUUGGUGAUUGUGUAUAUUCAUGUGUGUGUUUAGUAGUUUUUAACCUCAUGAAAAUUUUCUGGUAAAUUCACACUUAGUAGAGCCUACAAAAAACAUGUGAGACCAGCUGGGUGUUCUAAUCAUUUCUCUUUGGGCAAUUUUGUCGAAGGGAGGGAAAAAAUUUUAGUUAUCCCAUAGAACUAGAAAACCUUGCAUUGAGGCAUCAGACAUUGAAACCUUCUUGUGUCCUGUUUUCUGAUAAAAGCAUGUCCAUAAUCUGCACUAAAUGCUGGUCCACAGAAAUGAGUACUUUUUCUUUCCUUGCAUAUUAUUGAUCGCAUAGAUCAACAAAGGUUAAUACUUUUUCUUUAGUUGCAUAUAAUUGAUAUCUUAGGUUGGUGUCAAUUGAAAGGAAGAAUCUGAAGUCGUGAUGGUUUCUCUUAAUUUGUCUGCCUUUAUCACUCAUAGGAAAUAUCGAUUUCAAUAAACUAAACUAAAACACUUGUAUUCUAUGGCAGUACUCAUUCACUUCAAUUAAUGAUAAAAAUCAUACAUAUUGUUUGAUGUGCUAACAUGUUUAUUCAAUUGCUUGAAAAUGGAAAACUAUUUUACUCAUGCACUUCAAAUGAUGAUAAUAAUCAUGAUAAUGUUUUGAUGUUGUUAUUGUUGCUUUGGAGCUUUCCUAUCUUUGAUUCUCCUUUUAUUGCAGGCAAGAUCUCCAAACUAUGCUGUCACUCUCAGACAGAUUUUUCCUAACAUUCAGCAAAUUGAUUCCAAUGUAUUUGCUUAGAAGUUCAUUGUUCCAAGUUUCUUUUGUCAGGACAGUAGUAUCCAGGAAGUUGAAACUCUCCACUAGUGGUACUUCCUAGUCGUGUUCCUUUUCUCGUUGAUUGAACUAACAGAACAUUGCCUUUAAUGUGUUCUCACCAAACUGGUAUGCAGAUCAAAUUGUGGUAUGAGACUGUAAGUCCACCAUUGAUACAAAAAGCUAUCUAUUGGCUUCAACUGGGGAUGCAAGUUGCAAGUUUUCAACAGCCCUAAGGAAUUAAUUUGAAUUGUGCUGCUGUUCUGCAAUGCAUUUAUGAACUACAAUUUUUCAACUCUCCUACAUCUAUCGAUCUUCAACCAACUUUUGUUUUUUCUUCUUCAAAGUAAUAUUUCAAAUAUGAAUCUCAGGUUUUUGUUGUUUCCCAUUAUUGUUAACUUUAGAUAUCUGAGCAGUUGAGUUUAGGUUGGAGUGUGAAAACUUUUAAUUUCAUUUUGUGAUGUUCUUUUUGUAAGUUUGUUUUUUCUUCCUGGGAUUGUUGUUUUAAUGACAUACAUUUAAAUAUUUAAUCUGCAAUCGAGUCGAUGUUUCGGA